rnacentral:rRNA from 1 species
GAGGUAGAUAGGUUCGAGGUGGAAGUGUGGUGACACAUGGAGCUGACGAAUACUAAUCGAUCGAGGACUUAACCAAAA